AGAGCUAAAUGCCUGUCCAUGAGGGGGCAGCACUGUACGAUAUCCAUACAGUUAAUGAAUGAACAGCCUUCACUCCACCAGUCCCCGUGCAGGGAGAGCAAAGGGCAGCAAAAACAACACAAGCGCAGGCUGGAGUCUUCUUCUGCGUGUCCGUAAACCCUGGAGUCAGCCGUAAUACUGGUCUAAUAGACACAGAAGUGUUUGAAAGGACAGAGUGAUGUUGUAUUCAACCAAAUCACCUGUUAAUGCAGAUGAGGGAGUUUCACGAAAUCUACAUCACUAAGCAUUUUGUGCUUUGCAGUCCAGUAUCUGCACAGGAUGUGAUGAAACCGGAGACUAACUACAGCACACAGAGUUUGAAUUGCCCGUUAUCACUGAGCUGGAGUCAUAUAAGGAGGUGAAAGACAACAGUUGGAUUCCAACCAAUGAAUUUAUGACAGGCUGACCUCUGUGAACACAUGAACUAUGGCCGAUGUCUCAGGAGGAAUGGCUCUGUCAGUCUCAGUCGAGGCUUUAAAAGUGCAGGAGAGCAGAGCUUUAUGGGCAGGUUGUUGACUGUUUCACACUCAGAGUGUGUGUGUCCAGGCUGAGCAGUGGAGCAGUGAUUGAACAGUGAUCCGAGGCAGCUGAUGAACCUCGGAGGAGAGGAAGGACUUCCCACAUG